UAGGGAAUCUUCCACAAUGGGCGCAAGCCUGAUGGAGCAACGCCGCGUGUGUGAUGAAGGGUUUCGGCUCGUAAAACACUGUUGUAAGAGAAGAAUGACAUUGAGAGUAACUGUUCAAUGUGUGACGGUAUCUUACCAGAAAGGAACGGCUAAAUACGUGCCAC
rnacentral:rRNA from 1 species